rnacentral:rRNA from 1 species
GACGAACGCUGGCGGCGUGCCUAAUACAUGCAAGUCGAGCGAACUUUUGGGAGCUUGCUCCCAAAAGUUAGCGGCGGACGGGGGAGUAACACGUGGGCAACCUGCCUAUAAGACUGGGAUAACUUCGGGAAACCGGAGCUAAUACCGGAUAAUUCUUUUCUACUCAUGUAGGAAAGCUGAAAGACGGUUUCGGCUGUCACUUAUAGAUGGGCCCGCGGCGCAUUAGCUAGUUGGUGAGGUAACGGCUCACCAAGGCGACGAUGCGUAGCCGACCUGAGAGGGUGAUCGGCCACACUGGGACUGAGACACGGCCCAGACUCCUACGGGAGGCAGCAGUAGGGAAUCUUCCGCAAUGGACGAAAGUCUGACGGAGCAACGCCGCGUGAGUGAUGAAGGUUUUCGGAUCGUAAAACUCUGUUGUUAGGGAAGAACAAGUACCAGAGUAACUGCUGGUACCUUGACGGUACCUAACCAGAAAGCCACGGCUAACUACGUGCCAGCAGCCGCAGUAACAC